rnacentral:rRNA from 1 species
GAUGAACGCUGGCGGCGUGCCUAAUACAUGCCAGUCGAGCGAACAGAUGAGGAGCUUGCUCCUCUGACGUUAGCGGCGGACGGGUGAGUAACACGUGGAUAACCUACCUAUAAGACUGGGAUAACUUCGGGAAACCGGAGCUAAUGCCGGAUAAUAUAUUGAACCGCAUGGUUCAAUAGUGAAAGACGGUUUUGCUGUCACUUAUAGAUGGAUCCGCGCCGCAUUAGCUAGUUGGUAAGGUAACGGCUUACCAAGGCAACGAUGCGUAGCCGACCUGAGAGGGUGAUCGGCCACACUGGAACUGAGACACGGUCCAGACUCCUACGGGAGGCAGCAGUAGGGAAUCUUCCGCAAUGGGCGAAAGCCUGACGGAGCAACGCCGCGUGAGUGAUGAAGGUCUUCGGAUCGUAAAACUCUGUUAUUAGGGAAGAACAAAUGUGUAAGUAACUAUGCACGUCUUGACGGUACCUAAUCAGAAAGCCACGGCUAACUACGUG